rnacentral:rRNA from 1 species
GACGAACGCUGGCGGCGUGCUUAACACAUGCAAGUCGUACGGUAAGGCCCUUUCGGGGGUACACGAGUGGCGAACGGGUGAGUAACACGUGAGUAACCUGCCCACAACUUUGGGAUAACGCUAGGAAACUGGUGCUAAUACUGGAUAUGUGCUCCUGCUGCAUGGUGUGGGUUGGAAAGCUCCGGCGGUUGUGGAUGGACUCGCGGCCUAUCAGCUUGUUGGUGGGGUAGUGGCCUACCAAGGCGGCGACGGGUAGCCGGCCUGAGAGGGUGACCGGCCACAUUGGGACUGAGAUACGGCCCAGACUCCUACGGGGGGCAGCAGUGGGGAAUAUUGCACAAUGGGCGCAAGCCUGAUGCAGCAACGCCGCGGGCGGGAUGACGGGCUUCGGGUUGUAAACCGCUUUCAGCAGGGACGAAGCUUUUUGUGACGGUACCUGCAGAAGAAGCACCGGCUAACUACGUG